UUUCACCAUUCAUUGAGUCUCAAAAUCUUACAAAAGAAACUUUACAGUUAGAAACUAUACUGAUCGACCUCUUCAGGUAUAUAGAAGAAAGAUAGAGCCUGGCCAUACUUUCUUGCAAGCUCAAAAAUCCAAACCAGAUCAAGCAAUAUGAUGUAAAUAAUGCUUUCUUGCAUGGAGAGUUGGAAGAAGAGGUUUUUACAGAUCCACCACCAAGAUUCAAUCACUCCCUUCUUCCCAACCAAGUCUGCAGGCUAAAGAAGGUGAUGAUCUUAUGGAAAGACAUAUAUCGAGAAAGAGACUUUUUGUAAUAUCUCGUAUCGACAUGUGAGGACUUGGAGGAGGGCCUUAUAUGAGCAUGCUCACCUUGACUAGUAAGACGCGUUUUGGGACCAUGCGUGGCUGCCAAUAACAAAUCUGUAAGGCCUGUGGGCCAAAAUGGAUAAUAUCUUGCUAGUGGGGUAGGGUGUUACAGUUUGGUAUCAGAGCUCAGCUUAUUGGCUGUUCGGUAGUGCUAACAGGGUCGUCGGGCUUCUUAGGGGGAGUGAAUUGUAAUAUCUCACAUCGGCAGGUAAGGACUUGAGGGAGAGCCUUAUAUGAGCAUGCUCACCUUGACUACUAAGACGUGUUUUGGAGCCAUGCGUGGCUGCCAAGAACAAAUCCUUGAGGCCCGUGGGCCAAAGCGGACAAUAUCUUACUAGUGGGGUGGGGUGUUACAGCUAACUGUAACAACUUGUUCUGUUAUAAACAACUUGUCCACUCAAUGAUAUUUGGCCUAUAUCUAGAGUUCUAUAACUCCAAUUGAGGCAAGGCCAGUUCUAAAUGUUAGCUAACUCAUUCCUCUACAACUUUUAUAUGAAAAGUUACAACAA